UACGGAGGGUGCAAGCGUUGCUCGGAAUUAUUGGGCGUAAAGGGUAGGUAGGUGGUCUCAUUUGUCUGGGGUGAAAGCCUUGAGCUUAACUCAAGAAGUGCCCCAGAAACGGUGAGACUAGAGUUCUGGAGAGGGUCGUGGAAUUCCCGGUGUAGCGGUGAAAUGCGUAGAGAUCGGGAGGAACACCAGAGGCGAAGGCGGCGACCUGGACAGAUGACUGACACUCAACUACGAAAGCGUGGGUAGCAAACAGG
rnacentral:rRNA from 1 species